rnacentral:rRNA from 1 species
AUGAACGCUGGCGGCGUGCCUAAUACCUGCACGUCGAGCGAACAGACGAGGAGCUUGCUCCUCUGACGUUAGCGGCGGACGGGUGAGUAACACGUGGAUAACCUACCUAUAAGACUGGGAUAACUUCGGGAAACCGGAGCUAAUACCGGAUAAUAUAUUGAACCGCAUGGUUCAAUAGUGAAAGACGGUUUUGCUGUCACUUAUAGAUGGAUCCGCGCCGCAUUAGCUAGUUGGUAAGGUAACGGCUUACCAAGGCAACGAUGCGUAGCCGACCUGAGAGGGUGAUCGGCCACACUGGAACUGAGACACGGUCCAGACUCCUACGGGAGGCAGCAGUAGGGAAUCUUCCGCAAUGGGCGAAAGCUUGACGGAGCAACGCCGCGUGAGUGAUGAAGGUCUUCGGAUCGUAAAACUCUGUUAUUAGGGAAGAACAAAUGUGUAAGUAACUAUGCACGUCUUGACGGUACCUAAUCAGAAAGCCACGGCUAACUACGUG